GACGAACUGUGCAAACGUUAUUCGGAAUCACUGGGCUUAAAGGGUGCGUAGGCGGUCUGUUAAGUAGGGUGUGAAAGCCUCUGGCUCAACCAGAGAAUUGCGCCCUAAACUGUCAGGCUUGAGUGAGGUAGGGGUGUGUGGAACUUCCAGUGGAGCGGUGAAAUGUGUUGAUAUCGGAAGGAACGCCGGUGGCGAAAGCGACACACUGGAUCUUGUCUGACGCUGAGGCACGAAAGCCAGGGGAGCGAACGGG
rnacentral:rRNA from 1 species